rnacentral:rRNA from 1 species
GACGUAGGGCGCAAGCGUUGUUCGGAUUUACUGGGCGUAAAGCGUGCGCAGGCGGUGAUGUAAGACAGAUGUGAAAUCCCCGGGCUCAACUUGGGAACUGCAUUUGUGACUGCAUCGCUGGAGUGCGGCAGAGGGGGAUGGAAUUCCGCGUGUAGCAGUGAAGUGCGUAGAUAUGCGGAGGAACACCGAUGGCGAAGGCAAUCCCCUGGGCCUGCACUGACGCUCAUGCACGAAAGCGUGGGGAGCAAACAGG